UUUAUUUGCUUGGGAUUUAUUCUUGAGCGUUGCAGCUCCACGUUGCUUGAUUUAAUGGAGGUAUUGCUUGAUUUAAGGAAGAUUACUUCAUUUAAUGAAGAUUGCUUGCUUUAAUGAAGACAGGCUCUUUGUUUAUCUUGGGAGUAUUAAAAGUUGUCCAUCCUGGAUUCAUGUCUGGCUGGAAUUCUGGAGCUGAUACCUUUAACCCAAUGCUGGUGUUGCAAACAUCCUGCUGAGUGAUUUUUUCCUUUUAGCUGCAAGCAAGCUUUUCCUCUACCCAGUUACAUCUAAUACAAUGUCUGUGGUUGUUGUCCAGCAGGGAGAAGGGUGAUUUCUGCAUUAACAGUUCCCUGGAAAUAACAAACUCUUUGUUUCCAGGUGUCCUGCAGAAAGCCAGGUUUUUUGGUUUUGAUUUGCUAAUGGAACACCUGGAAAUAGCCCUGAAGAAUUCCCAGCCAGCUGAGGAUCACUCUCCCACCUCUCAGAAGGAGUUUGUCCAGUUCCUGCUGGCAACACCCCCCAAGUCCGAACUGCGCUGUCAAGUGA